CCGCCUCUCAGGUUCAAGUGAUUCUCCUGCCUCAGCCUCCCGAGUAGCUGGGAUUACAAGCAUGCACCAACAAGCCCAGCUAAUUCUUUUGUAUUUUUAGUACAGACGGGGUAUCACCAUGUUGGUCAGGCUUGUCUCCACCUCCUGACCUCAGGUAAUCCACUCAUCUCAGCCUCCCAAAGUGCAGGGAUUACAGGCGUGAGUCACUGCACCCAGCCUCCCUCUGCAGAUUCUAAGUGGGCUUGGGACUCAGCAUCUCUUCCUCAGGAAGGGAGGGAUGCACGCCAGGAAAUGGGGGAGCCCUGCCUUUAUUCCUUUCCCAUGUGUGCUCCCAGGGCCAGGGAUGAGGUAAUGUUAGAAGUGGAGCUGAAGUCUUGAAUGAGGCCAGCACUUGGGCGGAGUUGGAUUGGGCUGGUGUCAGGUUGGUAAGGGAGGGAAUUGGAAUCCACAUCGGGGUCGGAGAUCAGUCCCACCCUGGGGACGAGAGGUGGAGAAGACACAGUCCCAUCUGUCUCACAGCAGACAGGAUUUCACUCCUAUCACCCAGACUGGACUACAAUGGCAUGAUCUCAAACCCUUACCUUCUGGGCUCAAGCAAGUCUCCUGCCUCAGCCUCCCAAGUAGCUGGAAUUCCAGGCACCCGCCACCAGGCCUGCCUAAUAUUUUUUUUUUUUGUAACUACAGAGCUUCUUCAUGUCGCCCAGGCUAGUCUCAAACUCCUGAGCUCAAGCAAUCCGCCCUCCUCAGCCUUCCAAAUCACUGGAAUUACAGGCGUGAGCCACAAUGCCGGCCCCGAUAUAUUAAUAUUAAAACAUUUUCUUCAGCCUA